rnacentral:rRNA from 1 species
AGCGAACGCUGGCGGCAGGCCUAACACAUGCAAGUCGAACGAACCUUUCGGGGUUAGUGGCGGAAGGGUGAGUAACACGUGGGAACGUGCCUUUAGGUUCGGAAUAACUCAGGGAAACUUGUGCUAAUACCGAAUGUGCCCUUCGGGGGAAAGAUUUAUCGCCGUUAGAGCGGCCCGCGUCUGUUUAUCUAGUUGGUUGAGGUAAGGGCACAACAAGGCGACGAACAGUAGCUGGUCUGAGAGGAUGAUCAGCCACAUUGGGACUGAGACACGGCCCAAACUCCUACGUGAGGCAGCAGUGGGGAAUCUUGCGCAAUGGGAGAAAGCCUGACGCAGCCAUGCCGCGUGAAUGAUGAAGGUCUGAGGAUUGUAAAAUUCUUUCACCGGGGACGAUAAUGACGGUACCCGGAGAAGAAGCCCCGGCUAACUUCGUG